rnacentral:rRNA from 1 species
UACAGAGGGGGCAAGCGUUGUUCGGAAUUACUGGGCGUAAAGGGCGCGUAGGCGGCCUUCUAAGUCAGACGUGAAAUCCCUCGGCUCAACCGGGGAACUGCGUCUGAGACUGGAAGGCUUGAAUCCGGGAGAGGGAUGUGGAAUUCCAGGUGUAGCGGUGAAAUGCGUAGAUAUCUGGAGGAACACCGGUGGCGAAGGCGGCAUCCUGGACCGGUAUUGACGCUGAGGUGCGAAAGCGUGGGGAGCAAACAGG